UACGUAGGGGGCGAGCGUUGUCCGGAAUUAUUGGGCGUAAAGAGCUCGUAGGCGGUUUGUCGCGUCGACUGUGAAAACCCGAGGCUUAACCUCGGGCCUGCAGUCGAUACGGGCAGACUAGAGUUCGGUAGGGGAGACUGGAAUUCCUGGUGUAGCGGUGAAAUGCGCAGAUAUCAGGAGGAACACCGGUGGCGAAGGCGGGUCUCUGGGCCGAUACUGACGCUGAGGAGCGAAAGCGUGGGGAGCGAACAGG
rnacentral:rRNA from 1 species